rnacentral:lncRNA from 1 species
CCUUGGGGAAGCUGCCCUGAAGCUCAGUUUCUGUUUUUUCAGUCUGCUGGGAUGAGGGGAAAAUAUGGGCUCACCUCCCAGAGACAGGUUCAGAAGCAGGGCCAGCCUUCUACAGAAACAGAGACAGCAGUCUUACCUGGUACUGUUUUGCAGGGAUAAGGAAGGGAUAUCUCUUCUGGAAUCUCCUCAUCAAAGAAGGUGGGAGCUGGAAGGUACAGGUGGGUGCUCUGCCUGGCUACCUACUACUUACAGGACCUUGAGUGAGAGUUGGCUGAGAGGUGGACACGAAAGGUGGAUGAGCAGCCCUGAAUUUGGAAGAGAGAAGGGUUUGAAAGUGAAGAUAAUGAUCUCAAUUUUGGACACAUUCAGCUUAAGAUGUCCCAGUAUUCAAUGCGAAGUCUACUGCCACCCACAAAGAAGAUGAAAAGGUCAAAUCUAAUGGUUAACACUGAUGGUUCAUGCUCAUAAUUACAUUUAAAGUUUUCCUCACAACAAUCCUAUA